GGUCAUUCUCCUUGAGCACCUCCUUUGCAAGCUCUGUGUUGCUCACUACGACGUUCAGUGUGGAUCCAAUCCACACGGAGAAGAUGGGCCCGUAUUUCUCUGCCCACUCGGCGUAGCAGCGGAACCUCACCGGCUUUAUCUGGUAGAGGUUUCCGACGACGGGCCAUGGACGUGGACCGGGUGGGAGCUUGAAUCUGAGCUGUUGGUAGAGCUUGUAUGCAAGGAAGAUGUAGAUGAUGAUUGAUGAAAUGGGGAGAAGUAGUCCAGAAAGAGCCAUGUUGGAGUUGAACCUUGAAAGGAGCUGAGUUAUAUAUACAUAUACAAUAUGUAUGUAUAUAUAAAUAUAAUCACAGGGAUAUAUGGAGUCAUAUUGUGUUGUGGAAGUGUGGAUCGGAUAUUUUAGGUGGUGGGUAUGGUACCUAACCCUUAUGUGUGGCCUACAAGCCAACAACCCUUCCCUCCCAUCGCUCCCAAUUUUGCAAGAACCUAUUAAUAUUAGAGUAAUGGUAGGAACAUUAAAUUUAUAGACAAAAUUUUAUAAAUUAAAUAAUACAAAAGUUAAUAAUUGGAUUAUUUUGAUAAAUGUGCUCAUUCUUAUUGGUAACAUAUUAUUUAGCUUGCAAAAUUUGUCUCUUUAGCAUUACCCUUAAUAUUAAGAGAAUGCUAUUAAUCUUCUGAUGCUAUCUUCUUGGUUUUGGUUCUCAUUUUUCAGUGUUGCUAAAUAAUUAAAAAAAAUCUAUUUUCUAAAUAGAAAAUUAGACUCCAAUUAUUAAUGUCUUAUACAAGAUUAAAACUUUAGGAGUGUGUUAUCCACACACUUCUUUUCUUCAUAUACACGAUCUUUAACUUGCGGCCGUUGAAUCAACUGAAUUAAUGAAAAUUAACAGACAGAAAUUAAUAAAGAGUGUAAAAAGUAUAAAGGGAUGUAUGUGAACAAUACACCCCAAAUUACCAAUUUUGCAAGAAUAUAUUAAUUAAUAGUAAGAUAAUGCUAGCAAUCUUAUCAUGCUAUCUUCUCUGUUUUAGUUCUUGGAACCGAAUCCCCUUUGGAUCCAAUAAAACUAAGCAUGCUGAGCAGGCGAUCCGAGCCGUUGAAAUUUGAUCCAACGACUACAAAUAGGGAGGCCUUCUAAAAGUUAUAAUAAUUGUAGCCGUUGAAUCAAAUUUCAACGGUCCGGAUUGCCUACUCAACAGGUUCAGUAUACAUGGAUUUGGAGGGGAUCCGGUUCCUUAGUUCUUAGAGUGUUGCUUAAUGACAAAAAUACAUCUAUUUUUUAAAUAGAAAAUUAGACUCUAAUUCUCAAAGAAGAUGAAACUUAGAUUAAUGUCUGUUUCAAGAUUAAAACUUAAGAGACCAUUUAUUUAAACUAAAUUUUGUAGAUCAUAUGACAUGAUUGUUGAUAAUUAAAUUAUUAUUUAUGUGUUAAUUAACUUGCUUAUUUACUAUUAAUAACACAUCACAUAAUUUGCACAUUGACUCUGAAAAUUAAUCUAUCUAGAAUUAUCUGAACUUUAUUUAAGUCUCUUGAGUAUUAAAUGAUAUUGUAUGUAUUUUAUGUAUCCGAAAGAUUAAUAUUUAUGGAAAUAUUGUAGGAUUUUAAUACUCUUUCCCGUAGAUAAACUCGCAUUAAAUGUUGACAUUUUGCAUAAAUAAUUUAUGAUAAGUAAUUUAUAUAAGAAAAUAUUUACGCACUGACUUGUCGUUAUAGUUAGGUAUACCCAGGGUUUGAUCGAGAUCUCAAGUGACAAGCUCUCUAUAACAUGGGAUAUUUUUUCAAAUAAACACUUUAAAGAUGUAACAUGUUUUAAUUUAUUAUGAGUGUAAUUUCAUACCCAAAAUGUGAAAUUAAUGGCGGAUUUAAGAUAAAAAUAAUAAACUCUUUACAAAACAAAACCUAAACAAAAUAACAAAAAAAGAAGACUUGGAUAACGUAAUAUAGGAGUGGGAGAUGGAGGAAUGAGGGAUGAAGCCGAAAUGGAGGCUGGAGGGAGUUUGAUAUGCUAUUGCCCAUUGUUGUCGCAAUAUUGAGGAUUUGCAACUUUAUGUUUCGUUUGUAUAAGUUUAUUUUACGUUGUCGGUCACAAGUCGAACAAAAGAAAAGGAGGAUGGCAUCAAGUAGUCGACAACCCACACUCCAACUUCAUAUCAAAUCCGUAUGAUGAACUUUCGCAUUUAAACAUUUUAUUGCCAGCAAAGACAAUUCAUAUUCCAAUACUAAGUACUACAGGAAAGCAAAGACAAUUCUUCUCUUUGAAUAGUCUAAGGUACGGUUUAUGGUCAUGUACCCCAAUUAAUUUGACUAAUCAAUACAUGCUGAAGUUUAACAUUAGAGUUACUUAUGCUAGUGUCGCUUCUGCAGCACUCUCCCGACAUAUCUUCUGAUUAUGCACGACCAAUUUCUAAGUUCAUAGUUUUGAUUGUAGCAAGCUCAGAACUCAUGCAUGAUCCAAGAUUCGUUUUAUGAGCUUCUUUUCUAUCGACAUGUUCGGCUUAGGCCUAGUGCUAGCUGGACGAUCCUCUGGGGCCCAAAAAAAUCAAGGGCAUCAAAAUUAUUUUAGGUGUUAUAUUCAUAUAUAAUUUCAUAAGAGUAUAAAUUUAUAAAAUUUGGUUAAAUGACCAAUACUCCGAUUCUUGAGAGCUUGCUUCUUAGAAGUUGUACAAAUUCAGUGGAGAUUCACAUAUAAUGUUUCAGUCUAUCUAGCUGCAGAAAAGCGAAAAAGAUUUCAGAAUUUUGUGGUUGACCUUGUUAUUCUGAAUCUGAGUCAUUGCAAAAAUCUAUUAUGCCUCCCGAUUGUAAUUUGCAGUUUGAAGUCUCUUAUAUCACUAACUGUUAGAUCCAUCAAAGUUGAGUAGAUUCAUCAGUUUACAAACUUUUGCAUUCCGUUCUGUCAAUAGCUGUAGAUUGGUUGGCGAUGAGGCUAGAAGAGUUCAAUAAUAUCAAUGUUAAGGCGAUUGAUUACUCUCUCGCUCGCUCACUCGCUUUCUCGCAUUCAUGCAACGAGUGGACAUGGAUUUUUUUUUUUUUUGUGUUGUUUUAGGAGAUGAGAAAAAUCUCUGCCCUUCCUGAGGAUGAUUAUUUCCAGAUUCGAAGUUUAUUAUUCGACAAACUCAGAACCGACGGGUUCCAUUCUUCGCGAAUUCAAAUCUAAACUCAAUGAAAUUUGGUUGGAAAUGGAAGAGGGGAAGAUGAUGGUUAGUUUGCAGGUGGUGGCGAGGUUUGGAUCACCAGAAAACUGACGGAAAAACGUCAGAAAUGUGGCGGUACGAGUUGGGUCCGAUAAGGGUAUACGGGUCAGCCUGUUUCUCUCUUUUUCUUCCUUUUCCCUUCCUUUCCCUCUUGCUGAUUGGUCUGUUCCCCACUCCUAUAUCUUAUUUCUCUUCUUUUUCUUCCAUCACAGCCACCCAUGUGGCUCUUGAUCAAAGCUCCAACAAAUUUGGAGCCAUCCAGAUUAAUGAUUAAAUGACCAUUGUGUCCCUGUUUUUGUUCGUUUACAAGUCAUUCGUUGUAACUCCAAAUUACAAUCUUUUGAGCCUACCCAUUCGUAUCGAUAAGUACUAUCCAAAUACGUAAGGAAAAUUGGAAAAAUACAUAUACAUCAAAUAUGUUCUCGAAAUUUUUCGUUUAGUUCAUUAAGGGCAUUUUCGUCCUUUAACUUAAAUAAAUUUAUGCUCCGCAAAUAUAAACACAUCGAUAAUAAUAAUAUAAAAUACAUAAUUUUAAAUAUUGAAAUUUGGGGACGGGAUUUCACAUAUAGUGUGCUUAGUAUUGGUAUCAAAAUCGCCCGAAGGCCCUACAUCACCUAACCAAAGCCAUAUAUAAAUAUCUUCCGGCUGAAACUACCUACAAACGCCCGGCCGAAGCCAUAUAUAAGUAUCUUUCAGCCUAAGCCACCAACCAAACUGCCGACUGAAGCCAUAUAUAAGUAUUUUCCGGCCGAAGCCACUAACCAAACUCCCGACCGAAGCCAUAGAAGUAUCAUCCGCUUGUAGGCACAUAGUAUGACUAACCACUAGGUAAGCACAUAAAAUCGUGAACAUAAUCUUUCCAAAAUAUAUUUCAUCGGAGCUCAAUAGCUCAAACAUCAUAUCAUAAAUCAUAGGAGCGUUCUAGCUCAAAUCAUCAUCAUAAACCAAAUUCGUAAGUGUAUAUAAUCAUACUAUUUCAAAGAAUGUAAAUUUGAUAAAGCAUGAUGUUUCAUAAAGCGUAAAUCCAAUUUACUCAUAAACGUUUCAUAAAACAUAUCCAUAAAAUCAUGCUUUCAUGUAUGCAUUUCUAAUAGUAAGAUCAUGUAUUUUGGAAGGGGUCCACUCACUGAUACUCUGUCGCCGAAGAGCCGUUUGAACUAGGGAGGACGAAAGCGCCACUAACAAACGCACAUAAGCACAUAAAGAGGCUAAUUAAUAAAACUCUACUCAAACGAUUGAAUUUGGAAAAACGGACGUUGGAAUCGAAUUAAAGACGUCAAAAUUAGUAUAGGAAGGGUUCCGGCUGAAACCCAAAAAAGUCAAGCAAAAGUCAACAGCCAAAAGUUAGGACCGGCCUCGUCUAUUGACCUAUAAUGUUAUGUUUGGAAAAGGGACAUUCAAAAGCUCAAAGCAUUUUAAACUCGAUUUUUGAAAAUGCAUUAGAAGAGCAUUUCUGGAACUUGGGCUAAAUUUGGGAAGCUUUUGAACAUCGCCAACCCAAAAAUAAAAUUUUGAAUCCACCGUUGGUAGUAACUAACAACAUUAUAAAAACACUUAGAAAAGGAAAUGGAAGUGUCUUUAUGACUAUCAUGACACAUACGGGAUUUUUAUUGUCCCAAAAUAGGGAAGGGUAGCGAAAAGAAGUUGCUUCGUAAUCAGAUCAAGUGCUAGAACAAUAACAAUACGAACGAUAAUAAAAAUUAUAUAUUCGCGGCCACACGCUUGUACAAGUGUGAAGGGAGCCUCGGAGUAGGCACUACAUGUACCGGGGUAGCCAUGUAAGUGACUAUCCCUGGAUUUUCCGACAAGUCAAUCUCCUCUGGUUUCACCCCUUCAGGAGGAGCCCAACUGAAAUGGUGCAACAGAUGACCCAACAUGGAGGCAACCAAGUUGAUACCAAGUUGAGCUCCGGGACAUACUCGCCUGCCUGCUCCAAAUGGAAGUAGUCUAAAAUCAUGGCCUUUCAUGUCAACAUCUUCCUCUAGGAACCUUUCAGGUCGAAAUUCAUUUGGGGUUUUCCAGACAGCGGGAUCACGCGCUAUAGCCCAAACAUUAACAUGAACAGUCGAACCCUUGGGGAUGUCGUAGCCACCAAUCUUGACAUCGGCAUUGGCUCGGUGGGGGAGCAUUAGUGGUGUUGGAGGGUGCAACCGCAGUGCUUCCUUUGCUACACAUUGUAGGUAAGGGAGGUUUGAGAAAUCAUUUUCUGUCAUGACCCGCUCGUGCCCAAUAACCCGAUCUAGCUCCUCUUGAGCCUUUUGUUGCACCCUCGGGUUCUUAAUCAGCUCAGCCAUGGCCCAUUCAACUGAAAUUGCUGUGGUGUCUGUACCGGCAGCCAUCAUAUCCUGACCAAAUCGCUUCAUUAGUUUCGAAUGUAAAGAAAGAAUGCCUUUUUUUUUGAGGAAUGUAAAGAAAGAAUGCUCAAUGACUAUAUCAGAGUGAUAAUAAUAGUUUCGUUAACUAAUCAAAAGGAAAAAGGAUAAAAACAAGCGAACGAUCAAGUGCAAACAUACAAACGUGAGUGAGAAUUAACCGCCACUUUUUAGCAACAAAAUAGGAAAUUAAGAGCGUAUCAACGUAUACUUACCCAAAGAAGUCCAAUAACAGUGUCCAUACUAAGGUCAUACUUGUCCUUCAAGGUAAACAAUGCAUCCACAAAGUGGCUUUUGGCAACGCCGCCCUUGGAGCGUGCCAGAGUGUGUUCGUCCAUGAUUUCCUUGGUGAGUUUGUCUCUGUUUGCUCCGUGUCUAGCAAACGCCUCUUCGUCAAACGGGCAUGCCCAACGCAACCAAGAAAUGUGCUCAGCCACAGAGAGCGAUCCACUUAUUUUCACCCCGUUGGCCAUAAGAGCUCUGAAUCGUUUCCCUUGCUCAUCAGUUAUUUCAUCAGAGAUGAUGAAACGUUUCCCAAAUGCUAGCCUUGUUAUGUUGUUGAAAGCCACGUUUCCCAAAUACUUCUUCACUGCCAAACUUUUCCCAUGGUUUUCUGUAAUAUGGUGAAUAAAUUGUUAACAACAAUCGGUUAAUUGGUACAAGGACGAGUUUGAAAGUGCAUUUACCAAACAUGUUUUUUAUUUUAUAUUUAAUAAGUACGAUAUCAUUAAUUGGAACUUACAGAAGAUAUCAAGUCUUGAAAGAUGAUGUCCCGAAUAACGUCGGGAUGGUCCUCAAAUCAGACAAGACAAGUACUAACUGACAGGCCAAGAUUUGCUAUAGAAUGAUCAAUAUAACCAUUCCAUCACUACCAACCUUUCAAAGUUGCGCAAGAUUUUUCAAUGGCCGAAUACGAGACCGAAUGUCACAUCUCAUUAAACAGUUAGAGGGUGACAUUUUAAAAAAAAUUUCCUCCAAGUGUAAUGACAUGUAAUGUUUUGUUCUGUGUUUUAGACAUAUCAAACAAUCUUUUUAAUGGUACCAAUCUUCACACACAAAAAAAAAAGUAAAUUUAGAGACGUUCUAUCCACAUACUUCUUUUUACUUCUCACAUAUCCUUAAAUUCUGACCGUGUAUCAAAUAAAUUAAAAAAUAUUAAAAAAUUAAAAAUUAAUAAGAAUAUACGAGAAAUAUAAAAAUAUCCCACCCCUAAAUUUAUAAUAGGUUGCAUAGUGGUCAAAUGGUCUAAAAUAUUACUUUUCCUAAGAAGAUUAUGCUUUCAAUUAACUAUUUCAUAAAAAAAAAAAAAAGUUAACUGAUUCUUAUUGAAGAAGAAAGAAAUAUCUACCAGGUUUGGUGCAGUGGUUGAAGAUGGACUCGACCAUAGCAGUGACCUCAUCUUCUCUAAUGGGUCUGAGAUCCUCAAGCCUCUUUGCAGAGAAAAGCUCAAGAGUGCACGCCUUCCUCACCUUCACGUAGUGGGGCCCAUAGUCAGCCCAGAUAAGAUCCUGACCGUCCCUGCUAAACCUUGCGGUCGAUCUGUUCCUGUGCCUGUCAGCCAGUUUCUGGUCAUUCUCCUUGAGCACCUCCUUUGCAACCUCUGUGUUGCUCACUACGACGUUCAGUGUGGAUCCAAUCCACACUGAGAAGAUGGGCCCGUAUUUCUCUGCCCACUCGGCGUAGCAGCGGAACCUCACCGGCUUUAUCUGGUAGAGGUUUCCGACGACGGGCCAUGGACGUGGACCAGGUGGGAGCUUGAAUCUGGGCCGUUGGUAGAGCUUGUAUGCAAGGAAGAUGAAGAUGAUUGAUGAAAUGGGGAGAAGUAGUCCAGAGAGAGCCAUGUUGGAGUUGAACCUUGAAAGGAGCUGAGGUAUAUAUACAUAUAUAAUUGUAUGUAUAUACAAAUAUAAUUACAGGGAUAUAUGGAGUCAUAUUGUGUUGUGGAAGUGUGG
rnacentral:lncRNA from 1 species